rnacentral:rRNA from 1 species
UACGUAGGGUGCAAGCGUUGUCCGGAAUUAUUGGGCGUAAAGAGCUCGUAGGCGGUUUGUCGCGUCUGCUGUGAAAUCCCGAGGCUCAACCUCGGGCUUGCAGUGGGUACGGGCAGACUAGAGUGCGGUAGGGGAGAUUGGAAUUCCUGGUGUAGCGGUGGAAUGCGCAGAUAUCAGGAGGAAUACCGAUGGCGAAGGCAGAUCUCUGGGCCGUAACUGACGCUGAGGAGCGAAAGCAUGGGGAGCGAACAGG